rnacentral:pre_miRNA from 1 species
AGCAUUCUGAGUCCGUGUCGAGACUUCGUCAGAUGCCAUACUAUCAGUACUGAUGAAACUCCUAAGAUAAGUCAAGGA